CGAAUGGGUACGUACAUAAAGUGACCUACUACGGAGUGGACUUAAUGCAUAUUGUGAGGGAUCAUAGUGCUGAAGCGGGGCGCGAAAUACCAUGUAGUAUGUCCCGACUCCUAGGCGAAAAGGCCAAUUGACGGGAGAGCUUCAAAUGAAAAGCUAGUAUAGCACAUGCAUUCCCUUUUUGAUGCUUCAUCACCACCACUCCCGUCACUAACGAAAAACCUGAAAAUUCAGCAGCAAAAUAAAGUAAUAAAUUCUCCGACGCCAGCAUCAUUGGUGCUCCAAUAAAAGCGUAACCGACGCAUUACGCAGCUCAAAGGGAUGUGCUUCGUUGGGGGCGAGAAUGAUAAGUUGCAUAUUUCAACAGAACAUAAUUUUCAUUUGUGUGCAUAUGUAGGAGUAUGUGAUCGAAGGGUUUAGUUAUUGUUGUUUUUUUUAAGCAAUUAAGUAAUUCAUUAUCAAGAAAAUUCUUCCACGUAAAAUCACUUUUUUUUUCUUUUUUCAAUUUUCUUUUUUUUUUUUGUAUAUCAAUUGAGAUGUUGUUGCACGGGCCGUUUAAUUUUUAAAAAGUGUCUGAGACCCAAUGUACAAGGCAAGGAGGGCAUUCUCAAAUUCUCUCAUAAGAGAGAAUUCAUAGAGUUGAAGACCUAAAGAAAAAUUGUGUGAGGCUCACCGAUCCUCUCUCCUACUGGACACCGCCGAAGCAGCAACUCCAAUUUAUACCCCUAAAAUUUUCUUUAAAUUAAAUUAAUUGUUUUCUCCCUUUUUCUUUAAAUUAAAAAUUAUAAAGUGUUUCUUUUUCUCUAAAAUUGUGUAAUUUUCUUUAUUUUUUUUUUUUGAUUAAAAUUGUGGUUGGAAUGAGUAAGUGAAUUUUCUUCUUUUACUAAAUCCUCCCGCAACAGUAUUAAAAAUUGGAAAAUGAUCGCUGCUUCUGGGGUCCUCAUCUACUUCCCAAGUAAAGUUACUUAUUAUAAUAGGGUCGACUAGGGUCAAUGGCGUUCAUUGUUCGAUGGGCAACAGAUAUAUUAGUGCAACUACCAUCGUUGAGAAGCAUUAGCUGGCUGUUGAUUAGUACAUUUUCAAGCAUGUGGCCCUGCGAUCGGUUUUUAAAGUGCCCAAAAUGUGGUUGCUGGCAUUAAAGUCGCCCAUUAUAAUAGCACAAUGACAAUUCACACAUUUCGCUGGAAGAGUGCAUUUAUCUGGGUGUGAAUCUUCACCGCAGAAACCGCAGGUGGGCUUGUUCUUUUGAGAGUUGCACCUUUUCUUUUUGUGACCUUGGGAGAAGGGAUGAAAAUUUCGGUUUUGCCCACGAGGUAGGCAAAAACGAUCUCUGCUAGGCAUGUAGGAGUUUUAAAUGUAAGAAGAUGAGUUGCCGUUUCACCCCAUGUACUAUUUACAUUCCGUUUGAGCCUCUGAACAUUAAUAACCCCUUGAUCGGACAAUCUGGAACAAAUUUUUCCCGUAUCAAUUCUCAUCAAUUGUUUGCACCGAAUAAUAGCUUGGAACUGAUAAAGUAGGUACUCCGUUUUCGGAAAUUCUAACGGGUUUAUUGUACAGACCAAAAGUGGAAAUGCUUUUGAGUUGUUCAAUUUGUUUUGUUGGGCGGUUUUAGUUUGGACAAGGAGAUAUCCACUGCCCAAACGGGUUACAUUUUUAAAUCCUUGGGGAGAGAUUUUUGUGAGGCCAUCAAAUAUAUUAAAGAUAUUGAGAUCUCUAAUCUGCUCUCCGCUGAUAACGAAAUACUUUUCCAUAUCAGACGGAUGCGUAUAAUAGACAUGUUUUUAAGCAUCUUGAAAUUACUUCGAGCAGCCUCUCCCAAUGAGGGCAUGUCGCCACGAUGAUUAGCAUUGUUCAUGUUGAAAUUCCCAGGGGGCCCAGGGCCCCCUGAACUAGCACACAAUUUCCCCCUAACUAAAAAAAUGAAUGAAUGAAUUAAAAUUUAUUGUAGGUAAUCUGGCCAGUUGGCCUAAUAUACAUAAUCUGUGGUACAUGUAUAGUAUAACUUUUCAUUUCACAUCUCUUAAUUCCUCCUGAAUUAGAUCACCUAUCUCAUAAUUAUUCACUCUUUACAAAAUCUUAUCAUUCUUUUAUCUGUCUCAGCUUGGAAGUUUAAGGGCUUCCAUUCACCUUUUCUUCAAUCAAGAAACAGACCAAAUAAUUGGUCGAAAAACAUCUUCAAAUCGCGUCUUUUUCUAGAGUUUUAUGUAGUUCUUGAUUUUUUUGUGGUUCUCGAUUUUUUGGGUUUUUUUCUCUCCUUCACCUCUUCACUAAACUAUUGUCUGAAAACUGACAAGGGAGCCCCCAACAGAACAGGGUCUGCGGGAGCCCCAGCUUAACGGAGCUUUUGAUAACACAAUAAAUGAAGAACGUCCUCUCACUUCAAAUAUCCAAUUGCAACUGCCUAACUAAAAGUGUUCAGUAGUUUGUGGCCGUAAACCAGAAAAAAAGGAAUAAACUUGUUUGAAAGAGGCAGAAAAUCUGCUAAAAAAUCACUUAGAAGUGAAUAAAGCUCUGUGAGAGAGAAACUUGCAAACAUGUCCGAACGUUGAUAUUGAUAAUUAAUAAGUAAUGCAUUUACAAUUUUCUGAUAUUUUUCUCAAAUAAUUCAAUUUCCGAAUAAUUCCUAUUGAAAUAUUUUUCAUUCAGUUAAACACCUCACGUACAUAAUUCAAACACCAAACAUUUCUUCUUCUAUUAAUACUUCUUUACAUCAGAAAUAUGAGAUUUGCAGUGUGAAUGAAAUUUACUGUUUUCUUGUUAAUUAGCGUGGAAAAUUGCCUGAAUCGUAUGAAAGAGUUAAAGAGACAUCGGUGUUUCUUGGAAAAUUGAUAUUGACGUCCGCGUGAUAACAAAUCCUCCCGCACCCAUUCGUGUAUAAAUAAGCACCAUAGCCGCAUACCUAAUCAGUACGUUUAAGUAAUUUGUAUUUAAUACAUCCAAAAACUAGAGAAAAAAAACGUGUGAAGUCACAUAAAAAAAAUGAAGAUUUGCGUGGCAACAAUUUCAUUAAAUUUGCUUUGGUAUAUAGCCACUGUGUCUACCCUUCGGUGCUAUACCUGCGAUUCGAGUGAUUUAGACUACGAUGAAUACAAUAAGUGCGAUACGCACUAUAAUUUUAUGCCGAUCGAAGAAUGUUUGAAAAAUGAUAGCGAAUUUAAUUCAACAGUAGAACCAAUAGAUUAUGUGUGUUAUCGAUCAGUGUACUUCCAUAACGAUGAUGGAUACAUAAUAAUGCGUGGAUGCGAAGUAAGAAAUAUUUGUUCGUACAUAGAAAUGGAAUCUAUUAAACUGAAUAACAGAGAAAUGGCCAUCCCUACAGAAUGCCAAAUAUGUGACACAGACCUUUGCGAUCCACUUGAAAGUGCUAUUGAAGAUAAGUGGUACAAUAAAAUGUGCCAUAAUUUGGAGGAAAAUAAUAAUUAUUGCGAUGAGGAUGAUCUGGAAUUAAUAUGAGAAAGAGAGAGAGAAUGGACAAAAACAAAUCCAUAAACUAUUGUGAACAUCAAUUAUACAUUUAAAAAUUAAUAUUUACUUAUCUAUACAUAUUUAUAUUAAAAACCUUUCUUAUAAGAUCUUUCCUACAGUGUAUAUAUAUAUAUAUAUAUAUAUUCCUACUUAUUCGGUGAAAUCCGUAAAACCUAUACAGACAGGUAUUGGUUAUCGUCACAUCGCAUGUAUUUCUUAUGCUCAUUAUUUUUAAUGGGAGAGAAGAGUACAACCGACGUGAGGUAACCAAUACCUGACUGUAUAAUCAGAGAUAAGAUUUUAUAAUGGGACCAACUGUCUCUACAAUUUAUGGACAUGGAGUUUAUCGUCUAUUAGGUUGCAAAGGUUACCUAAUCUUAUUUUUUUCAAUAAUAAAGAUUCAUAAAAUUAAGUUGAAAUUCACGAUAAAUUUUCAUCGAUAAUAAAAUUCGUAAAUUAGAAUUUUUUCAUAAUGUUAAAUCCAUAUUAAAUGAUUUUGAAAAAAAAACUAGGCAUAGGUACAUGUUACAAGUUCUAAUCAACUAAAUCGUCUAAAGAAUGUUUUUGCCAAUUUUCAUGGCUCUAUUUCUGUUAGGAACCAAAUUCUUGUAUCAUUUUAGAUUUUGAAUAGGACAAAACGAUCCGACAAGUAAUUCUAGAUAAAAUAGAUACAAUGAUUUCUAAAAUGGGCAAAAAAUUGGAAAUAACAAAAUAAAAUGAUAUCAAGACUAAGGAGCGGGCAUUGCCUGGAUAAAAAAUUCCUCCAUUUAAUAAAAAUUGAACAAAAUGAUCUAUGCAUCACAUGCGGUGAAGUUGAGGAUUCCGAGCAUUUGAUCCUUAAGUGUAAAAAAUACGCCUCGCAAAGACAAUCACACAACAUUCUUCAAUUCUCCAUAUUAAAAGCCCUAAUUCAAAAAAUGAACAAUAAGACACACCUGGAUUUCUUAAAUUACAUAAAAGACACUAAAGUUAAAUUAUAAAGCCUCGAGAUAUUUUGACUAUCCCUCUGGGAUAGUAUGGUCUCGAAAAGUGAAAAAGUGUGAUUCGCUACAAUAAAUCAUUACCCAAGUGAAAACAUUAAAAAAAA